CACGAACCGUACGAACGUUAUUCGGAAUUACUGGGCUUAAAGGGUUUGUAGGCGGCCAUGUAAGUCAGGUGUGAAAUCCCUCGGCUCAACCGAGGAACUGCCUUCCAAACUGCCUGGGCUUGAGUCCGGGAGAGGUGAGUGGAAUUCCCAGUGUAGCGGUGAAAUGCGUAGAUAUUGGGAGGAACACCAGUGGCGAAGGCGGCUCACUGGACCGGAACUGACGCUGAGGCGCGAAAGCGUGGGGAGCAAACGGG
rnacentral:rRNA from 1 species